UGAAAGGCGAUUUGAUUUAUAGUGCUAAAAGAAAUGACGCUAGCUAAGUGCUCUCGGCAAGCUAGCUGGCUAGCUAGCUAUAGUGCUAUUUUGCCGGUUUUUCAUCGACCGUGAUGAGCCAUCUGUUUCUAUCCAGCUUAAAGUGAGAACAGUCAAGCUUCCACAACUACGUUGAGUAGGUGUGCCCAGCAGAUUCACUAACAUGGAUGAAACGUUUGACUUUGGUGAAUACCCUUGAACUCACCCAGACAAUAUCUGCUUCUAAGGCCUGGAAGAGGACAGGUAAGAGGCACUUCAUGCACUCAAACAAACACCAAACUCCGUCUGAAUUAGCUGCCAGGCUUUGAAUCAAGGAGGAGACCUGGAUUCCAUUCAGAGAAAGAAAGAAAGAAAGAAAGAAAGCAAUGCAGCUGAUGAAUCCCAGGAGAAACAUAGAAAAUCCAUAGCCUCUUUUAGGACUCUCAUUCAUUUAAUCAUGUCACAUGGCCUUAGCAUGACAAGCAAUCAUUUUAAUUGAAGAACACAAGUAAUGUUUUUUUAUUUAUUCUAGUCUAUUCUGUACUUUUCGAUUCAGUUUUUUUAUAUAUAUAUCAUCAUGUGAGAAAAUGGUUGCCCUAAAAAAAGGCUGAUAAGUACAAGGCUCCAUUCUUAUGUUGAGAUGCUUUUUUUAAUAGUACUGUGUAUGGAUGCCUUGCUCUUCACCUGAGUGCCAUUUUGAAAGGUGAGUAUUUCAUUUCCCUGUGCAGCUGUGUCCAAGUGAAGGAGCGAUCCAAUUUUGGAGGAAGUGUCAUCCGCAUCGUCAUAUAUCUGGGCCAAACAGGAAAUGCAUAUAUACAUAUAAACAGGCUCAGCUGAGGCAAAGUCAGUAAAGCUUCUGUCAAAGCCUGAUGACAUAUUGCAUUGUGUAAUAUGAGGUGUCAAGCUAGUCUGCCUCUUUGCCAUGAUGCAGAAGUUUUGAAUACAUGGUUUGAAAGUAGAGCAAAUCCUGGUGUUGCAGCUUAGUUGGCAGCAGUUGUAGCUUGAGUUGCAUGUAAAAUGUAGCCACAGACCUGAUGUUGUCUAUUUUCUCUUUUAUUUUAUAAAUAUGCUCAUUCUUUAUAUCAGAUAGUCAUGAACCCUAAAUCCAGGAGUGACUGCUUGUCUUCUAGCUGUGCAUAUUUUGUAUGUUUAGAAAUCUUGAAUCACUCCUUGAUAUCACACCCAAAACAUAUUCUUUACUCAGCCACUGCACAUGAGCGUGGACCAGCAUGUUUGUGCACUUUAUAUCAGUUCUUCAAAUGAGCGCGAAAUAGCCGCUUUUUAAGACUUUUUUGUGACCCUUCAAACUAAGUUCUUGAUAUUUAUCUUUAUCCCUUUUGUGGCUUUUCAAUGGAAGGAAGUGUUAGCUGUGUCCUUUUUUUGUGACCCUUUUUGUCCUCAUACACUGAAAAUGCAUAACUAAUGGUAAAAUUAUAAAAAGUUUGAAAACUCAGCCACAUCUACCAUAUCAGUGGACUCCUCAAACUGGAAUAAGAAACACACAUGUGGCACUAUCCUUCAGUUGAUCCGUUACUUCCUAUUUCUGUGUCAAGUUUUCUGGAUAAAUGAGUAUCCCUCACAGUAGCCAUUAUUUUACUCUUAUUUCUUUUAUUUCUUGCAAUCCCCAAACCUAGAUAUCGCAAAGAUA